rnacentral:rRNA from 1 species
GGAAUUUUGCGCAAUGGGCGAAAGCCUGACGCAGCAACGCCGCGUGGAGGAUGAAGGUCUUUGGAUUGUAAACUCCUGUCAGCAGGGAAAAAGGGACUGGGCCUCAUACGUCCGGAACUUGAUUGGACCUGCAGAGGAAGCCCCGGCUAACUCUUUGCCAGCAUCCGCGGUAAUACAGAGGGGGCAAGCGUUAUUCGGAAUUAUUGGGCGUAAAGGGCGCGUAGGCGGCUUUUCAAGUGACGGGUGAAAGCCCUCGGCUUAACCGAGGAACUGCCUGUCAGACUGGAAGGCUUGAGACCGGGAGAGGUGAGUGGAAUUCCCAGUGUAGCGGUGAAAUGCGUAGAUAUUGGGAGGAACACCAGUGGCGAAGGCGGCUCACUGGACCGGAACUGACGCUGAGGCGCGAAAGCGUGGGGAGCAAAC